rnacentral:misc_RNA from 1 species
UCCGGUUUGUCACCGGCAGUCCCCCUAGAGUUCCCGGCCGAACCGCUGGCAACUAGGGGCAAGGGUUGCGCUCGUUGCGGGACUUAACCCAACAUCUCACGACACGAGCUGACGACAGCCAUGCACCACCUGUGACGGUGCCCCGAAGGGAAACCGUGUUUCCACGGCUGUCACCGACAUGUCAAGCCCAGGUAAGGUUCUUCGCGUUGCGUCGAAUUAAACCACAUGCUCCGCUGCUGGUGCGGGUCCCCGUCAAUUCCUUUGAGUUUUAGCCUUGCGGCCGUACUCCCCAGGCGGGGCACUUAAUGCGUUAGCUUCGGCACGGAGGGAGUCGACACCCCCCACACCUAGUGCCCAUCGUUUACAGCGUGGACUAC